rnacentral:rRNA from 1 species
UACGUAGGGGGCAAGCGUUGUCCGGAUUUAUUGGGCGUAAAGAGCGUGUAGGCGGCCAGACAGGUCAGCUGUGAAAACUCGAGGCUCAACCUCGAGACGUCGGUUGAAACCGUCUGGCUAGAGUCCGGAAGAGGAGAGUGGAAUUCCCGGUGUAGCGGUGAAGUGCGCAGAUAUCGGGAAGAACACCCGUGGCGAAGGCGGCUCUCUGGGACGGUACUGGACGCUGAGACGCGAAAAGCGUGGGGAGCGAACAGG